UGGGGAAUCUUGCGCAAUGGGCGAAAGCCUGACGCAGCCAUGCCGCGUGGAUGAUGAAGGUCUUAGGAUUGUAAAAUCCUUUCAGCGGGGACGAUAAUGACGGUACCCGCAGAAGAAGCCCCGGCUAACUUCGUGCCAGCAGCCGCGGUAAUACGAAGGGGGCUAGCGUUGCUCGGAAUUGCUGGGCGUAAAGGGAGCGUAGGCGGGUCGUUAAGUCAGAGGUGAAAUCCCGGGGCUCAACCUCGGAACUGCCUUUGAUACUGGCGACCUUGAGUGUGGGAGAGGUAAGCGGAACUCCGAGUGUAGAGGUGAAAUUCGUAGAUAUUCGGAAGAACACCAGUGGCGAAGGCGGCUUACUGGCCCACUACUGACGCUGAGGCUCGAAAGCGUGGGGAGCAAACAGG
rnacentral:rRNA from 1 species